rnacentral:lncRNA from 1 species
UUUCCAGUUACAAGGAUUAAAAACAAAACCUCCCUGUGAAAAGAGGUUGCAGAUUGAAGAUUUGGCUCGUUCCUCCUCAAUGAAGAUUUCCUGAAGAGGAAAGGGAUUGAAUUUGGAAGGAAAUCUGCAGGAGGCAGGACGUAGUCUGGUGGACACUGAGUUUGGGUGAAUUUUGUCUGCAUGUGAAGAAGCUCACAGCAGUCGUUGAAAAAGGGAAGCACAGCGAUACCUGGUCAUUCCCACCAGACGGAUCUUGGCCGCAUGAAUAUUCAGGGAGCCCCGAACAGUCCAUUAAAAACAAAGUUGAACUCUACCUGUUUAUAGAUUACUUCUCUUUGUAAUUACACUAUGUUUCAGCAACUAAUGGGAAUGAGACUUCUUAACAAAAACAACUGACUUUCCAUAACAUGAAUUAAAGGAGAAAUUAAGGUCAAUUCCGUUUCAAAUAACUGUCUCAUAAGGAAAAAAAAAAAAAUCUCUUCAUUAAUCAAAAGUAUCCAGGUCUACUUCCCCCUAUUAAUCCAGGUAUAUAGAAGCUCCUAACGCUUGUAACCAAU